UUGAAGUAAUUAAUACAGUCAAGAUGGAGUCUCACCAUAUGCAUAUAUAAGUAACAGAUAUAUGUGUCAUAUCAUAUGUUAUAUUAAAAAGAUGGAUACUACAAAGAUGUCUGCUCUUAUAAUGAUAUAUCUUUUUGCUUUCUGCUUCUUAACAUCAGAUAUGUGUAAGAAAUCAGAAGGAAGAGAACUUGACGGACCUUGUAAAUCAGAUGGAGAUUGUCAACCUGGAUGUCCUGGAAAAAAAGGGCAAUGUAUUCGCGGUAGAUGUUGGUGUAUUGAAUCAUCAUCUUUAGAUAAUACUACUCCUAGUGUAAUCCCUCGGAUUGCAAACUGAGUAAAUUAGUAUUGUGAGGAAAUAAUCAUGUAAGAAUAAAAAUAAUAUGUAAUAAUACAAUUGUUUUAAAAGGAAAAUAUUUUUCUAAAAUAAAAUAUAAUCUUAUAAAAGUUGGAUAA